rnacentral:sRNA from 1 species
AGCUGUUCCCCUCUGGAGGUUCUUGACCUUCAAACCUAUAGGGCCCCGGUCACACCGGUGGCCCUCUUUUUUUCUUCCC